rnacentral:rRNA from 1 species
AACGAACGCUGGCGGCAUGCCUAACACAUGCAAGUCGAACGAGUGCCUUCGGGUGCUAGUGGCGCACGGGUGCGUAACGCGUGGGAAUCUGCCCCUUGGUUCGGAAUAACGGCUGGAAACGGUCGCUAAUACCGGGUGAUGACGAAAGUCCAAAGAUUUAUCGCCAGAGGAUGAGCCCGCGUAGGAUUAGCUAGUUGGUGUGGUAAAGGCGCACCAAGGCGACGAUCCUUAGCUGGUCUGAGAGGAUGAUCAGCCACACUGGGACUGAGACACGGCCCAGACUCCUACGGGAGGCAGCAGUGGGGAAUAUUGGACAAUGGGCGAGAGCCUGAUCCAGCAAUGCCGCGUGAGUGAUGAAGGCCUUAGGGUUGUAAAGCUCUUUUACCCGGGAAGAUAAUGACUGUACCGGGAGAAUAAGCCCCGGCUAACUCCGUGCCAGCAGCCGCCGUAA